AUCCGAGUCCAGCAGUUCUAUCAGGUAAUAGCAUCACGCGAAAGGUUGGAGUGUGUCACUUCAACCGAAAGUUAGCUAAUCACACGGAAUUUUUCGGGUAAAACAAACAACGAAAACAUGAACUUCCGAACACCGUUCAUGGCACUGCUGCUGCUGGUGGUGGCUUUUGCAGUGGCAGUUCUAGGACAUCAUGGAAACUGCACCGCCACCAUAAACGGCACAACGGUUCCAUGUCCACCACACAACGGCACCCAUAUACACCCAGGUGGACCAGCACCAGCUGGAGGUCGACCCCUGGUAACGAUGCUUAGAGAAGCAGGUUCUGCUUAAGCAUUAUAUGACGAACAACGGGCUAACGGAACGCGGCUUGCUUUUGGACGAAUAAUUUCUGGGAUCCUUUCGUUAACACAUAUUAUGCUUCAUCAGGUGCUGGUUGCGUGGGGUUUUAGGGAAAUGGAAAAAAAAUAAAGUAUAAAAUGCAA